rnacentral:rRNA from 1 species
GGACGUACCACGCCGUAAACGAUGUCGACUUGGAGGUUGUGCCCUUGAGGCGUGGCUUCCGGAGCUAACGCGUUAAGUCGACCGCCUGGGGAGUACGGCCGCAAGGUUAAAACUCAAAUGAAUUGACGGGGGCCCGCACAAGCGGUGGAGCAUGUGGUUUAAUUCGAUGCAACGCGAAGAACCUUACCUACUCUUGACAUCCAGAGAACUUUCCAGAGAUGGAUUGGUGCCUUCGGGAACUCUGAGACAGGUGCUGCAUGGCUGUCGUCAGCUCGUGUUGUGAAAUGUUGGGUUAAGUCCCGCAACGAGCGCAACCCUUAUCCUUUGUUGCCAGCGGUUCGGCCGGGAACUCAAAGGAGACUGCCAGUGAUAAACUGGAGGAAGGUGGGGAUGACGUCAAGUCAUCAUGGCCCUUACGAGUAGGGCUACACACGUGCUACAAUGGCGCAUACAAAGAGAAGCGACCUCGCGAGAGCAAGCGGACCUCAUAAAGUGCGUCGUAGUCCGGAUUGGAGUCUGCAACUCGACUCCAUGAAGUCGGAAUCGCUAGUAAUCGUGGAUCAGAAUGCCACGGUGAAUACGUUCCCGGGCCUUGUACACACCGCCCGUCACACCAUGGGAGUGGGUUGCAAAAGAAGUAGGUAGCUUAACCUUCGGGAGGGCGCUUACCACUUUGUGAUUCAUGACUGGGGUGAAGUCGUAACAAGUUAACCGUAA